GUGGGGAAUAUUGGACAAUGGGCGAAAGCCUGAUCCAGCCAUGCCGCGUGUGUGAAGAAGGUCUUCGGAUUGUAAAGCACUUUAAGUUGGGAGGAAGGGCAGUAAGUUAAUACCUUGCUGUUUUGACGUUACCGACAGAAUAAGCACCGGCUAACUUCGUGCCAGCAGCCGCGGUAAUACGAAGGGUGCAAGCGUUAAUCGGAAUUACUGGGCGUAAAGCGCGCGUAGGUGGUUUUGUAAGUUGGAGGUGAAAUCCCCAGGCUCAACCUGGGAACUGCCUCCAAAACUGCAUGACUAGAGUACGGUAGAGGGUAGUGGAAUUUCCUGUGUAGCGGUGAAAUGCGUAGAUAUAGGAAGGAACACCAGUGGCGAAGGCGACUACCUGGUCUGAUACUGACACUGAGGUGCGAAAGCGUGGGGAGCAAACAGGAUUAGAAACCCCUGUAGUCC
rnacentral:rRNA from 1 species